CCCUAGUAAAAUAUAGGAAGGAAAUUAGUAAUGUUGAAAUUUAAAAUUUUUGGCGGUUAAUAUUUUAUUAGAGGAGCUUGUUUAAUUAGAAUUUGCUCUUUAUAUUUUAUUUAUGAAAGUUUAUUUAUCUCCGUUAUAAGAUGAAAAUUUUUUAAUUUUGAAAUUGUAUUUCAGGUCAAGAUGUAGCUAUUAUAAAGUGAAAUUAGCUACAAUUAUGAAAUAAUGGAUUUUAGUUGUAAAUAUGUAAAUAAAAUUGAAUUUAGUUGUAACAAAAUUUAAUAAUGAUUUUGUGAAGGAUAAAUGUUAAUGUA
rnacentral:rRNA from 1 species